GUGCAGCAGGCGCGAAACUUUACAAUGUGCGAAAGCACGAUAAGGGAACUCUGAGUGCCUCCUAAGGAGGCUGUUCAGGUGUCUAAAAGCACCUGAAGGAAGGGCUGGGUAAGACCGGUGCCAGCCGCCGCGGUAACACCGGCAGCCCAAGUGGUAGCCACGUUUAUUGGGUCUAAAGCGUCCGUAGCCGGCUGGGUAAGUUCCUUGGGAAAUUUGGCUGCUUAACAGCCAAGCUUUCAGGGAAUACUGCUCGGCUUGGGACCGGGAGAGGUCAGAGGUACUCCAGGGGUAGGGUGAAAUCCAUUAAUCCUUGGGGGACCACCGGUAGCGAAGGCGUCUGACCAGACCGGGUCCGACGGUGAGGGACGAAGGCUAGGGGCGCGAACCGG
rnacentral:rRNA from 1 species